AUGUUUAUUUUCUUCGAUAUAGUUUUAGUACACCGUUUGAAUAAGCUAUUGUAUGUGGUUGAGAUUUCUUGAAUGCCGCUGUUCACGUUGCCUGGGACAAAGGUUCUUAGAUAGUUCGAGAAUAGUUCAUUAAGUUUAGCGUGAUCCGUAAUCUCUCUUGUCAAGACCGUUUUUUGUCUUUUUUGCAACAUUUCAAAAGACGUGAGAAUCUGCAAAUGAUCACUAACGUCUGAAAAGAUGGUAUCAUUUUUUAUUCGUUCUAAAUCUUAUACUUUGCAAAUUACAUGGUCUAAAAACUAGUAUAGACGAAGGCCAGAAGUUUGUAAGAUUUUAAAUUUUGUUAAUUUAGAUAAAAAUUCAUUGUUUCAAAUAUAAUUUUAGUGUCCACUGAUUCUAAAAUCCGCCGAAAAACGUCGAUGAUUUAAAUCACAUUAAAGCGCGGCGAUAAACAAAAUUCCAAUACGAAAACCGGUUACGAAAAACAAAUUAGCUUGAGAUUUGCAAAUUUGCAUUUACAAGUAUAAGUAGGGAAACCUCUGUUGCCUAGAAAUUUCCUUUUUGUCAAAACUAACGUGUGAUUAUAUGAAAUUAUUUUAUCGGCUAUAUCGGUGAAAUUUUAUAUUCUUUGAGAAAGAAUAUUUAAGAAUUGAAAGAUUAUAUACGGAUAGAAGAUUAGAAUAGGGUGAAAGAUGUUGAAAAUGAGCGGAAGGGUAAUUUUGAUUUGAAAAACUUUUCAUCACAUUUCAUCGUUUUGUUCCUCACGGGCCUACUACCUUGCAGUGGUAGAUACGGGAUAGAUUUGUAGCUACCACCACACAAUAGUAGGCCUAGCUUGGUAUGUCCCACAAGCGGAAGACUUGCAGUACGAACGAACAAAAAGACGGCUAGACCGCACGUAAUGAUACAAUACCGAGAACCGCAUCUAAAGGGUGAUACGGUCAAAAUUUGGUCAAUAUCAACUUGACGAAUUUCCUUCAAUUUUGCAUUUAAAAAACCUGAACACCCCUCAUUUUGAAGGUGUGUGUGUGUAGAAUGUUGCUCCUAUUUUGAUUUUGGAAUCCACUCUUAAGUUAUCAAAAUGCCGUCCAAGGAAGAAGAGCAGCGUAUCAAAAUUUUGCUCGCACAUCGCGAAAAUUCGAGCUUCUCGCGCGCAAAGCUGGCAAAAUCGCUAAAAGUUGCCAAAUCAACCGUUACAAAUGUAAUUAAAGUGUUUGGGGAACGUUUGUCAACCGCCAGGAAGUCUGGAUCGGUGAAUAAUCGAAAACCGGAAGCCGCUGAGACGACAAAGAGAGUUGCCGAUAGUUUCAAGCGAAACCCUAACCUCUCUCUCCGAGAUGCCGCAAAUAAGCUGGGUGUACCGUCUACAACCGUGCAUCGAGCCAAAAACCGAGCCGGACUAUCGACUUACAAAAAGGUAGUGACUCCAAAACGCGAUGAUAAACAAAAUACGACGGCCAAAGCGCGAUCCCGGAGGCUGUACACGACGAUGCUGACGAAGUUUGACUGCGUGGUAAUGGACGACGAAACCUACGUCAAAGCCGACUACAAGCAGCUUCCGGGACAGCAGUUUUAUACGGCAAAACGAAGGGGAAAGGUAGCAGAUAUAUUCAAGCACAUGAAACUGUCAAAGUUCGCGAAAAAAUAUCUGGUUUGGCAAGCCAUCUGUACCUGUGCGUGGCUUGAAAAGCAACAUUUUCAUAGCUUCCGGGACUGUCAACCAAGAAAUUGACGUGAAAGAGUGUUUGAAUAAACGUCUGCUGCCUUUGCUGAAGAAACACGGUUGUUCCGUACUGUUUUUGCCGGAUUUGGCAUCUUGCCAUUACGGUAAAAUGGCCAUGAAGUGGUACGCCGCCAACAACGUGCAGAUGGUUCCCAAGGACAAGAACCCUCCCAAAACGCCAGAGCUCCGCCCAAUUGAGAAAUACUGGGCUAUUGUCAAGUGGAACCUAAAGAGGACCAAAAAACUGCUAAGGACGAGUAGCAGUUCAAGGCAAACUGGCUUUCUGCGGCGAAGAAGGUGGACAAGGUGGCUGUACAAAAUCUGAUGACAGGGAUUAGGCGUAAGGCCCGGCGAUUCGGAUUUGGAAAAGCGGAAGCCUAGCUGAAUAUUUUUCCUGAAUUUUAUACUAAUUAAAAUUGAAAAAGAAAUUUAAUUUGAUUUAUUAAAUUAUCGAUUUCACCGAUUUACACGCGUUGUCCCUUGACCAAAUUUUGACCGUAUCACCCAUUAUCGAUAAAUGUGUCUCGGUUGUAUUUGGAGCUUUUCUGAGCGAUCACAUUUCAUCUUUUUGUUCGUUCGUACUGUAAGUCUUCCGGUGAUUAACUCUUCAUUUCAAUAACGUGUGAUUGUUUUAUGAUUUUUAAAAUUAGAUUAAGGUAGCGGGCUUUUGUUUAAAAUAAGGUUUGGAAAAAUGCAAAUUUUGUUCGAUGGAAGUCUUUAAUUUGCACUUAAAAACUAUUCACGCUACGUGAAAAUGUACAUAGAUUUUUUCACCUUGAAAAUCACGUGGAAUCUAUGUGAAUUUCAGGUAGCAAAUAGAGCUCACGUAGCGAACAGAAUUCACUUAAUUUUCAUGUGAGUUUCGCUUGAAGCAUACUUGGAAAAGGAAUUCGUUCUGCUAUAUGCAAUUCACACACUUUUCAUAUUUAAAUGAACGUAGCGGAUGUUUCACGGAUAAAAAAGUCUACUAGUUGUUAUAAAAAUUCGUAUGGUUGCCAAUUCCAUGCCAAUGAUUUUCAAUUCAACAUACCGUUUUACUUGAUCAACAUCGAUAUCAACGAACAAAUCAGCGUAGCUGUGAAGUUGUUUUGGCUAUCGAAGAUUUCUCAUCUGCUCAUUGCUAAUAUGGCGGAACUGGCUAUUUUAUUCAGGUCAACUAAAAAAUUGUUUUAGAAUCUCACAAACACAGAAGUUGGUGAAAGUUAUUUUUUUUGAGGACACACGUCAGAAAGCGAAAAUGUAAUGCUAAGAGCCUCACGUAAAUCAAGCAAUAAUUCACGUUUUAAAUGCCAGCCUGAAAAUCCAGGUGAAUUUACAUUUCAGUUGAGUGUGGAUUUCUUGAAUAUUUUUUCCAUGUACCUAAUGCUAAUGAAAUGAAAAUUCUAAGUUUAUUGUUGAAUUCCUUGGUUACAAUUUUCCUGGAUACAGAAAAAAAAGUGAAAGCAUGUUAUGAAUCGUAAAAUUUUAUCCGAAAAGGCAAUAUCAGUUAAAAAAUCUAACAAAAAAAUUUGCAAUAUGUUUUAUUUCUAAAACGAAAAUUUUUAAGACUACAUAGGUUUCGAACCUCAAAAUAAAGUUUGAAUUCGAAACACCUUAUAGUAGUUGUGACGUAAGGCAAACUGUAGUACAUGCAGAGGAUUAAAAAAAACCCUCGAAAAUUCAUACAUAAUUCAAAUAGGGAUCAAUUUUGAUCAAAUGAAUAUGCUGCCAAAUAUGUUAUUUACGAAUGCUGAAUCGAAAAGCUUGAUGUAAUAAAUUUGAGAGCGGGAAUUUUUAUGGAAUGGUAGGUAGGGUAGGGUAGGGUAAGUCGAGUCGGUAAAUUACUUGUUGCAAUUCUUCAAUUCUCGGUAAACUUUUUAACAAAAUUAUCAAGGCAUCUUUUUUACUGUAUAAUUAUCUCUUUUCUACAUUAACCAGAUAACAGUCAAAUGUUUUAACAUUCUCGGUUAAGUGUAAAGCAUUGCACGAACAGCAAUCGUCUCCUCAAACCCCCAUGUACCUUAAUUUAUUCUUAUCAGGAGACAAAAGUUACAUUUUCGGCAACCGGUUUUUUUUUUAAUUAUAGUGAUAAAAUUCGUCUACAUAUCUCUCCUUUCUUCGGGAAAUAACUGAAGCGAUGUAAAACCUGUUGUGUAAAUUUCUGACCAUUCCAAUGUCUUUUCAAAAGGAGAAUCAGCGAAUGCUGGAAGGAACGAUUUAAAGAUUGACUGAAAUUCAGCGAAAACUCGAUCGAAACUUCGAGAUUUUCUGCUUCAAACUUUAUUCUUGACUGAAUACUAGAAACAAGUUGUUUUUAUAUACCUACUGUAUGUGUAUACCUGUAUGGCUCUAAACAUCUUUUAUCUGCAGGGUCAUUCAGCAAUAUUUCUUCAUUUCCUCAACCCUUAAAUGCAUGGUGUUGUUUAAAAGCAACACUUACUAAAAUCCAAUCAUAUGAUGAUGACAAAUUUUCUAUAGAGAUUGAAAUGUUUUGAUGGUUUCUCAUUCGUCUAUAAGAAAUUUGAAAACAUGUGUAAGGAACUGGCUACACUCCUGUUGAGUUGUGUAAUUCGAAUUAAAAUAAUAUUUAACUGCAUAGCUAUACUCAUAAAAAAAAGUCAUGUAUUAAGGGGUUAUCUUACAGUACAUACUGCAAACAAUAUACCGUGUAACAGUUUUAGCUAUAAGAGCAAGUUCGCUGGUGUUGGGAAAAAGUGGUAGAAAUUUUGACAUUUUGAAAAUUUUAACUUGCAAAAAUGUUCUCAAGAUCUUUGGGCGUUGUAUUUUUUGACAGCACUGUUUCUUUUUCAGCCGUAUGUGAUAGAAAUAUUGCUAUUUUUGCAUCACAGCGAAACUACUGUCGUGAUCGACCGGUUUAAUUAGCCAUUUCGGCAUCAUUUUUUUCACACCGUUUUUCAAAACCGACAUCACUUUUCGAAACUCGUCUUUAAACAGACGUUCUUUUCUAUCGGACCCGCUUUCGUCCUCUUCUCUCUCCCUCUUUCUUUAAUUUCCUCUCCGUUCAACGACGGUAACGACCAGACCUGUCAGCUGCACACGGUAAUUUUCAAAUAUUCAGAGACUGAUUUGUUUUGGUUCAGGAGUCACACCAUGUAUGAAGAUGAAAACAACUGAAUUGAAAUCAAUCAAAAUUUUGAGUUGUUUUCAUCUAGUGAGUUUCAAAACCUGGUAGUUAGAAAAAAACGCACCCUUUUUUGUGCAAAACAGAUGAAAACAACUCAGAGCGUUUAAAGAACGGUUGAAAACAAAAGUUAAUUGUCGGACGGUGGCGGGAUGGUUUCCGACGGGUGCGGGUAGAUUUUCGCCACUGGAAUAGGCGGAAGUACCGGCCCAGGACCCAGGACCGAUUAUAUAAAUGGUGACAUAUGUCAUCGGGAACAUUUUCAACAUAUCGAACGGCAGGAAACGAGCGGCAAUCUGCACAAAGGACGACGAACGUUAGCUGCCAAAAAUCCAAAAUUUUAAAAGAAACUCCAAAAUCGAAAUGACAGCAUGUAAAAAUGAACGCUUUCCACGAAGGGCACGAGAAAAGGACAAUUUAAGCAGCAGCAAACCACCGUCAGCAGACUAUCAAAGAGAAAGAACUAUCCCCUGCACCGGUUGCUGAAGCACCAGGUGCCUCAGCGGCUCCAGCAAAAUCACACCCCUAAUUCAAGCAACAAAACGUAUCUUUGGCCGCAUCGUUGGGUUCGGAUAGUGGAACUCAUGCUGAACCGGAGCAAAAAGGGUGGCGGUUCAAGGUGGUGGAUCUGAUGAACGCCAAAACGAAGCAAAGACAACGUUCGCACCGUAGUUGAUGUGAUGCUAACAAAUCACUUCCCCCAUGCGACAGGUGAUAGUGAAAUUUGAGCUUUUUAUAUGGAAUAUCUAUUUUAUUCCUCUUAAGGUUGGUUUUCACCGGAUGAUACUAAUCGGACACACAUUGCUCAGCCGGAUUUCUCAGGGGAUUAAUGCUGGCCAGAAACCUAGUUUUCCAUCAAAAAUUUCGUGCUUCAGUGUUUCAUCCAUCGCGUCAAUAUUACAAUCGGAACGUUUGAUUUGCUCUUAUUUUCGGAUCGUGUUGUCACCAAACUUGCGCAUCAGCCGAUUCUCGUCAUCUUAGUGUCGUAAAGGAUCUACGAUCUGGAUCAUCCGCAUCAUGCCCGAAAUUGGAAAACCAAAUAACAUCUUCCAUCGUUAUCAAGGUACGAUUUCAAAUUACUUCCAUUUUAUACAAUUUUUAUUAUCGUAGGAUGGGUCACUCAUCUUUUCUGGUUGGUUUCUUCACGGACGGCAGAAAAACCGGCGUAUAAUAGUGACUAACGCUUGGUAAUGAUUGCUAUGAUCAGCAGGAGGAAAAUAUUUCAAAAUCGAUGAUUCUUAUAUCAAUGAAAUGACAGCGAAUUUGUCUAUGACAAUCGCGCCAUCUCUACAUAGAAAACAGCGCAGAUUGGGAUCGAGAUGAUGACGAAUAGGAGGAUAUCAAGUUUUCCACCGUUUCUACCGUCCACCGAAAUGUCCUGAAGAAAAGCGCUUCCUCGGUUGACAAAGACGGAGAUUCACUGUCAUCCGGAAUUGGAGUUUGAAGCGUGUCCGUUGGCACCUUGAAUCAAGCGAGUCACUCUUAGACGGAACUUCUACACGACUGAUCAUCUACUGGUUAGCCGCGGAGGUGUUCUAAAACCGACCAUCAGUUCGCAGAACCAAAUCAACAGAACCAUUUGUACGAAUGGUGGCAAGUACAUCAACCUACGCUAUUAACCGGCGGUGUGAGCAUCGCUUCGAGCGGUCAGGAUGAUUCUAGUUCGGAAGAAUCUUCCACCAGCACCAGCGUGAAUGUACCCAUCAAACCCGAGUCCAAACAAAAUCGCCCUGCACAACCACAAGCGGAAAGUCGGGAACAAUACUAGCUUGAGUCAUUUAGAAAUGGAAGGUUGCUUUUGAAGGAUGGCUAUUUUGAUAAUGUAGUUUUAACCAACCAGUAGUGUUCAAACAUCACGAACCAGUUGGUGCAACGCUUAGAAGGCUACGGAGAUGAAGAGGAUGAUGAUUUUUCUGAUUAUAAGGAUCUCAUGCCCCCACCGAGCGCAACGAAGAUGUGGUUUCAUGCUGACCAAAAUCAACAAGCCCUCUAGUUUGUAGGGUUAAAUUCCACAGGAUGGGGGUUGGCUACGCUACUGGGAUCGAUGGAAGUCCCGGCGGAGCAAAAGACCACACUGGACGCUCCCCAGUACACCAUCGUAAAAUUCGUCUGUCGGCAGAAGGGCAAUAUGCUACUCGUCAACAGCAGAAUAUGCUUACUGCCACAAAAA